UACGAAGGGGGCUAGCGUUGUUCGGAAUUACUGGGCGUAAAGCGCGCGCAGGCGGUUCUCCAAGUCAGUGGUGAAAGCCCGGAGCUCAACUCCGGAACUGCCAUUGAAACUGUUGAACUUGAGGACGAGAGAGGUGAGUGGAAUUCCCAGUGUAGAGGUGAAAUUCGUAGAUAUUGGGAAGAACACCGGUGGCGAAGGCGGCUCACUGGCUCGUUUCUGACGCUGCAGGCGCGACAGCGUGGGGAUCAAACAAGG
rnacentral:rRNA from 1 species